AUCGGGGUGUAGCGCAGCUUGGCAGCGCGCUUCGUUCGGGACGAAGAGGUCGUGGGUUCAAAUCCCGCCACCCC
rnacentral:tRNA from 1 species